rnacentral:rRNA from 1 species
UACGGAGGAUGCGAGCGUUAUCCGGAUUUAUUGGGUUUAAAGGGUGCGUAGGCGGCGAGUUAAGUCAGCGGUAAAAGCCCGGGGCUCAACCCCGGCCCGCCGUUGAAACUGACACCCUUGAGUGAGUGAGAAGUAAGCGGAAUGCGUGGUGUAGCGGUGAAAUGCAUAGAUAUCACGCAGAACGCCGAUUGCGAAGGCAGCUCACUGGACUGCAACUGACACUGAGGCUCGAAAGUGUGGGUAUCAAACAGG